GAAUUGCGAUAAGUAAUGUGAAUUGCAGAAUUCAGUGAAUCAUCGAAUCUUUGAACGCACCUUGCACCUUCCAGUCCUCUGGAAGGUAUGCCCGGUUGAGUAUUAUGAUCACCUCAAACCUAUGAUUUUCUUACUGCAAAGACCAAUGCUCUGAACGAAAACACUCAGUUGGGGUGCUAGUAGUUGCUGCUUUGGUUUGGAAGAUCGUUGGGUCUUGGACUUGAGCUCUGUUGGUUCCCUCUGGAUCAACUUGCUUAGAAAUGUAUUAGCUGGCGACCUGCCUUCAAUGGUUACCACUCGGCGUAGUAAGUCUUAUUCGUCGAGGACACCUUGUACCUUCACCGGAACAGGUGGCCAUUGUGUUGUGUCCUAAUAGCCGCUUCUAAUCGUCUCUGGACAACAUAACGAACUUCUUUAAUCUCAACUCGGGUAGGACUACCCGCUGAACUUAAGCAUAUCAAUAAGCGGAAGGAAAAGAAACUAACAAGGACUUCCCC
rnacentral:rRNA from 1 species